CCAUUGGGGACUGGAGACCCGGGCCCCAAAAUUCCUACGGGGAGGCUUCCAGUAGGGAAUUUUUCCCACAAUGGGCGAAAAGCCUGAUGGAGCAACCCCCGCGUUGUGGAUGAAGGCUUUAGGGUCGUAAAACACUUGUUGUAUGGGAAGAAAUGCUAGAAUAGGGAAUGAUUUUAGUUUGACGGUACCAUACCAGAAAGGGACGGCUAAAUACGUGCCAGCAGCCGCGGUAAUACGUAUGUCCCGAGCGUUAUCCGGAUUUAUUGGGCGUAAAGCGAGCGCAGACGGUUGAUUAAGUCUGAUGUGAAAGCCCGGAGCUCAACUCCGGAAUGGCAUUGGAAACUGGUUAACUUGAGUGUUGUAGAGGUAAGUGGAACUCCAUGUGUAGCGGUGGAAUGCGUAGAUAUAUGGAAGAACACCAGUGGCGAAGGCGGCUUACUGGACAACAACUGACGUUGAGGCUCGAAAGUGUGGGUAGCAAACAGGAUUAGAUACCCUGGUAGUCCACACCGUAAACGAUGAAUACUAGGUGUUAGGAGGUUUCCGCCUCUUAGUGCCGAAGCUAACGCAUUAAGUAUUCCGCCUGGGGAGUACGACCGCAAGGUUGAAACUCAAAGGAAUUGACGGGGACCCGCACAAGCGGUGGAGCAUGUGGUUUAAUUCGAAGCAACGCGAAGAACCUUACCAGGUCUUGACAUCCUUUGAAGCUUUUAGAGAUAGAAGUGUUCUCUUCGGAGACAAAGUGACAGGUGGUGCAUGGUCGUCGUCAGCUCGUGUCGUGAGAUGUUGGGUUAAGUCCCGCAACGAGCGCAACCCUUAUUGUUAGUUGCCAGCAUUCAGUUGGGCACUCUAGCGAGACUGCCGGUGACAAACCGGAGGAAGGCGGGGACGACGUCAGAUCAUCAUGCCCCUUAUGACCUGGGCUACACACGUGCUACAAUGGCGUAUACAACGAGUUGCCAACCCGCGAGGGUGAGCUAAUCUCUUAAAGUACGUCUCAGUUCGGACUGCAGUCUGCAACUCGACUGCACGAAGUCGGAAUCGCUAGUAAUCGCGGAUCAGCACGCCGCGGUGAAUACGUUCCCGGGUCUUGUACACACCGCCCGUCACACCAUGGGAGUUUGUAAUGCCCAAAGCCGGUGGCCUAACCUUCGGGAGGGAGCCGCCAUAGCAGAACAGAUCCUGACUAGUCC
rnacentral:rRNA from 1 species